rnacentral:rRNA from 1 species
UACGUAGGGCGCAAGCGUUGUCCGGAAUUAUUGGGCGUAAAGGGUGCGUAGGCGGUUUGGUAAGUCUUGUGUGAAAUCUCUGGGCUCAACUCAGAGUCUGCACGAGAAACUGCCGGGCUUGAGUGUGGGAGAGGUGAGUGGAAUUCCUGGUGUAGCGGUGAAAUGCGUAGAUAUCAGGAGGAACACCUGUGGCGAAAGCGGCUCACUGGACCAUAACUGACGCUGAUGCACGAAAGCUAGGGGAGCAAACAGG